GUGAAUCAUCGAAUUUUUGAACGCAAAUUGCACUCCCCGGUUUUCCGGGAGAGUAUGCCUGUUUGCGGGCAUGAUUAAAAAAUAAUCGAGGCUGCUGCUGUGGCGGCGCUCCGGAACUGGGUCAUCUUUUACCUUUUGGCGUUGUACGUGACCUAAAAUUUUUCUUACGAUUUCUACGAAUGUGUCUAAGAAUCUCUUGCACGUUCGUGAUAUAGAUCUCAUAUUAGGCGCGA
rnacentral:misc_RNA from 1 species